rnacentral:lncRNA from 1 species
UGGGAACAGAACAUGGGGGUCAGAAACAAUGACGAGGCAGUCACUUGCUUGAUCGCUGAACCUGGAAUGGGGAGGCGAGUUUAUUUUUGGAAACGUGAGUGCGCAGAGCUAAGCGGAAUUUACUUCUCCUAAUAAGGAAAUGGACAAAGUUGUCCAACCGCAGAUGCGCACAUUUUUGCCCAGAUACAGCCAGCGAACAUGUA